rnacentral:tRNA from 1 species
GGGGAUUUGGCUCAGUGGUAGAGCGCUUCCCUAGGAAGCGCAAGGUCCUGGGUUCGGUCCCCAGCCCCG